rnacentral:rRNA from 1 species
ACUCCUACGGGAGGCAGCAGUGGGGAAUAUUGCACAAUGGGCGCAAGCCUGAUGCAGCCAUGCCGCGUGUAUGAAGAAGGCCUUCGGGUUGUAAAGCACUUUCAGCGAGGAGGAAAGGGUGUAAGUUAAUACCUUACAUCUGUGACGUUAGCUGCAGAAGAAGCACCGGCUAACUCCGUGCCAGCAGCCGCGGUAAUACGGAGGGUGCGAGCGUUAAUCGGAAUUACUGGGCGUAAAGCGCAUGCAGGUGGUUUGUUAAGUCAGAUGUGAAAGCCCGGGGCUUAACCUCGGAAUUGCAUUUGAAACUGGCAGGCUAGAGUACUGUAGAGGGGGGUAGAAUUUCAGGUGUAGCGGUGAAAUGCGUAGAGAUCUGAAGGAAUACCGGUGGCGAAGGCGGCCCCCUGGACAGAUACUGACACUCAGAUGCGAAAGCGUGGGAGCAAACAGGAUUAGAUACCCUGGUAGACUGUCAU